rnacentral:rRNA from 1 species
GACGAACGCUGGCGGUGUGCUUAACACAUGCAAGUGGUGCGACGAACCAGAGCUUGCUCUGGGGCAAAGCCGCGAACGGGUGAGUAACACGUGGGUAAUCUACCCCGAUGACCGGGACAACCCGAGGAAACUCGGGCUAAUACCGGAUGUGGUACGGAGACAUAAGUCUCUUUACUAAAGGUAGCUUCGGCUUCCGCAUUGGGAGGGGCCCGCGGCCCAUUAGCUAGUUGGUGGGGUCAAGGCCUACCAAGGGCAACGAUGGGUAGCUGGUCUGAGAGGACGAUCAGCCACACUGGGACUGAGACACGGCCCAGACUCCUACGGGAGGCAGCAGUGGGAAUCUUGCGCAAUGCGCGAAAGCGUGACGCAGCAACACCGCGUGAGGGAAGACGGCCUUAGGGUUGUAAACCUCUUUCUAGAUGGGACGAAGGUGAUGCGGUGAAUAGCCGAUGUCAUUGAC